CUUCUGUCCAAUGAUUACAUGACUGACAGUUUUGCCGUAUCCUGCAAAACAAAUAACUGGAUUCUCACUUUCAACUGGGUGCUGAAGACUUCUGAGCCCACCAUAGGACAAAAAGAAACCUGU